AAUUAAAUCAUACGUAAAAAGAUUUAGUAUUGUCACUAUAUAAAGAGAGUCUUUGUUGGGUGCGAAAAGAUAUAUAUACAAUACCGAUGGCUUUCUAAGUAAUUUAUUCGAUAGGUAGAAUAAAUCGUUGGUCUGCGUUAAAGAUGUCAAGUGCUAGUUUAUUGACUAGAACUAAGGUGGUACCGCGGAAUUAAAAUUUCGUCCUUAGA
rnacentral:ncRNA from 1 species